rnacentral:lncRNA from 1 species
GUUAAUUCAUUUUCAUCAAAGGUAGAACAAACAGAAAAAAUUUCAUCGAUUAUAAAAUUAAUUUUAUUGAUUGAUGCAGUUACAUGAAUUUAUUGAUGUAUUUUUUUUUUUUAGAUUUAGACAUGCAAUCGUCUAAUACAACUAGAUAUUGAUUGUUGGAGGACCUGGCGGAACAUGUCUACAUCUUCCCUCUGGGGGACAUCCCGGUUUGUACGGAUUUACUGGUUCCGGGGGUGGACACGUGCCAGGACUACAGCCAGGGGGACGAUCGCCACCACGUAUUGGUGGAUAUCCAAUAAAUUUUCCAGCUGCUGGGUUGCUGAUCAUAAACACACAUGCUGCUAUGAGUAUUGCAACGACCAUAACCCUAUUUGUUCCUUUUAGAUUGCUCAUGAUUUGUGUCAAAAUUAAAUGUUUACAGAAUAGCUUAUUAAGUGUUGUGCUAGUUGGUAUGAAGAGGGUUUUUAUAGUGUGUAUUUUUUUUGAAAAACAUAUCUAUCUAUAUAUGUUACUAUUUAAGAAUUUGCUUAUUUGUCAUUUUUUUCAUGAUUUUUAGAUAAAUCAUUAAUUUAAUUAUAUAUUUUUAUUUUGAUAUCUAUAUAUAUUUAUCAUGAUAUCUAAGAUAAUUAAUAAACAUUAACAUAUUCUAACAGUAUAUAUACUAUUAUUUAUAAAUAUAUAUAUACUUGUCAUCUUUUCUAUGAUCUUAGGAUAAAUCACUAAUUUAAUUAAUUUUUUUUUUGAUAUCUAUAUAUAUAUAUAUUUAUCAUAAUAUUUAAGAUAAUUAAUAAACAUUAACAUAUUCUAACAAUAUAUAUACUAUUAUUUAUAUAUAUAUAUAUAUUUAAUAUACUUAUCAUGAUAUUAAAUAAAAUUAAUUUAUAAAUAGAUAUUAACAAUAUCUACCUAUAAUAUCAUCUUUACUUAUAUCUUAUAUUUAGUUUAAAAUUUUAAUUACUAAUAUUACUAAUAUUAUAGCCAAUUUCUAUGAUUUUUAUCAAAAAUAUUGAUCAAAUACAAAUUAUUUGUUUAUUCAGUUUGAUCGCUUAAUAAACCAAUUAAACCUUUAUAUAGUAUAUAAGUAUACUAAUAUAUCUCAAUUAAUCGGUUUUAUUGGUUUAUUCGGUUUGACCGCUUAAUAUAUUGAACCAUAUUCAUAUACUACAGUUUCUUAAAAAUAACAUUCAUUCGGUUUAUUCGGAUCUGAACGUCAAAACGUUACUUUUGUAUAUAAUUAAGGAGUUAUGUAAUGGAAAAUUUACACAUUUUGAAAAAAAAAACAAGAUGACAAAUAAAGAGUGGUAUGAGUAAUUAUGAUUUAUCGUAUAGUGUUGUACUUGCCGUUUGUUACAUUGCCAAUUGUUAGUUCUUUUUACUCUUAUAAAUGUGUAAAUUUUCCAUUACAUAAGUCCUUAAUUAUAUACAAAAGUACUCUUGUUGGUUAGUCCGUCCGGACUUACGACUAUUGGAUUUAAUUAAGACCAGUAUUAUGAAAUAUCGCAUUCAUUUGAUUCAACAUUAGAAGAUGUUGUUAGAGCGCAAAUUAUAAAACCGUGGACACCACUUGUAUUUUUCUUUCUUCAAAUCAAAUUCAGUCAUCUAAAAUAGUUCAGCGAACGGAGAUCAAGAACCAGAUCCUAGAGCUCUAACUAAAAACUUCAAACUAAAGCUUUAUAAUCUAGACAAAGUACUUAUCUUGACAAUCUGGGUAAAAAAUAUCACUGAGUUGUUUUUCUUACUUCUUCAGACGUUACAUGAAACUAGCUUUUACCAUUAAAAAUGGAUUAAUUGACUACUUUAUUUUGUUCUUGUUAAAAAAAAUUCAAGAGUUCAGGUUAGGAUGGGAAGAUGUUGCGGCGUCAAGGCGAUCAAAGCAAGGCACUCACUAUCCACAUUAUCCAAUAGCUCAUGCAUUUAAUACCUACAGAAGUCACACGGAUGAAACACCGAACAUGAUUUCUCACUGGGGUCCAGCCCACACGAGGGUGCAUCUCUAUCUCUUUUUUUUUUAUCUAGGGUUGAUGUUUUCGGCCAACGUGGACCCGUUUAUUUCCUCGAACACACACCUCUACUCUACAAGAAUAUAUAAACAGUAAGGAUCAACUAGCCAAAUGAAAUUUGGCUUAGCAAUUGACAAAUUAAAACACGGGUAUGGAGUUUAAUUUUUGGAAUGUUUUCCGGUGUUUUCGAGUUAUUUAAAGUAUUUUGUAAUUUAUGGCUUCUUGUCACUGAAAUACUAUUGUGCUAGUUAUGCAAUAAUAUUAGCUUAAUUUAAAUUAACAUGGUUUUCAGUAUACCAUAUAUAUAGGCAUCAGUUUUCUCACAGAAAAAUGCUUAUCGAACGUUUUAUUUAUCUGGGUCUUGACUGAUAAUUAGUGGAAUAAAAAAGUGGAAAUGAAAAUGUGAAAAUGAAAAUGUGAAAAUGAAAAGAAAGAAAACUGUCAAAUGAAACGUAACAUUUUCAUCUAACAAAAAUUGAAGGAACAUUUACCUCUAUUUUUUCACUUUGUUAUAGUAAAUGAGCUGAAAUGUUUCCACUUGAUUGAAUAAAAUCGGAAGAAACAGGCUGAAGUAAAAUUUCACUUACUUUACUUUACACUAAUGAUGUCAUACAGCCAGAAUAAAUGUUUUCUUACAUAUUCCAGAAGAAACAGGUUUUCUUACAUAUUCCAUUAUUUAUUAAUUAGUAGAGUGUAAUGUAACUAAAUCAAGUAACAUAAGUUAAUAAAAAGACCAUUACGUAUAACGAGUCACUAUGUGGAUUCAAAUAUUUCUAUGUUAUUAACAAAAUAAAUGUCAAUUCUAAAAUUAUUUAUAAACAAGCUUAAAAACCAGAAAAUUUGAACGAUACAAAUUAUUGAAGUAUUACGUGUUGUAUGAAUUUCAUCUAUUUAUUUUUCAUUUUUAAUAUUUAUAAUAUUCAUAAGAAAUGGUACGUUGGGAGUAUUUUUUUUGUUUAAUAAAUUUUACUUAUUGCAUAUAUUUAUAUAACCACGUAUAUAUGUAUAUAGUACUUUCCCUCUAGAUCAAGAUGAAGUCAUUGUCAAAUUGACUUUCAAUUUUUAGGUCAGAUUCUUCAAUUGUAAUCAUGCAUGGGCAUGAUGAUGUUUAGCAAUUAACGAUGUUGAUGAUCAUUAUAUGCUUUUAUAAUUUGAAUGAGAAAUUGUUUUAUAAUCAAGCUAAUAUUAUUGUGCCCCUUCUUGAUUGUACUAAUAACCAUAUUUUAACCACCCCCUCCCAAAAAAAAAAAUUGACGACAUGGGUGUAUGACAUGUUUUCGUCAUAUCACAUGGUUGGCCAUUUAAUAUAUAUAUAGCAAAAAUAAACUUGGAAUUUCUAUGUGAUUUUGAAGGCUUUUUUCCUGUUUUCGUAAUCGGGUGUGGUAAAACACGAGUACAUUUUUUGUGUUAACUUAUGUCGAGAGAUUUAAACGUGAUGUGCACAUUUCAAAACCGUUUUAAUCUAAACACUGUAAAGAAACCAUAUAUAAUACCACUAUCACACUACGGUAUUUAAAUGUUUGCGACAAAAUAACGACUGAUGUCUGAUGAGAAACUGAAGUUUUCUUAUCGACUAAUCCCCGAAACAGUGAAGUUUAAAGAGUUUAUAUAUGUUUCCCUAUAAGAUUGUACAAUGUUGUAGAAAUAAAGUGUCUAGCUUUCGUUCUCUCAACCAAUUAAUCGGUUCCAUAGACAUUUCGCCUAGAAACAGAGGUUCCUAAUAUCAUUUGCCGUCAUUUUCUACGUGUUUGUUCUGUAUUUUCAUAAAUGGUCAACUGUCUAGCCUAUUGUACUGUGUAGUUACUCAUGUUUAAUAUAGCACUAGAUUUAUCCCAACAUUAUAUCAUAUCCUAAGCAUCGAUCAGAAGGGAAUGUUUGCUUAUUACAUACAUAGUGCAAGUAAUCUGAAACGGGUAAAUGAAUAUUCACAUUUACAUGAAUAAAUAUACCUUAAUCUCUAGUUUUCCUUUUGACUUCACAGUAGUUAACAAACAAGACAGAAGCACAUGGAGGAACCAUACUACGAAAACGCUAUGGUAGACCAAGACUUUAGUUUAAUAAAUUCCUUAAAUUUUAUUUAUUUCAAUUAUUUUUGUCGGCAUUAUUAUAUCAAAAUUAUUAAUUUACAUUAAAAUAAGGCAAGCAUAUCACUUGUGAAUGGCGGGCCCCAUAAGAAAGACAACGAAUCCAUGGAAUCAAAACACAUGUUUGAAGCUGACAACUUUCCCAUCUAUGGGUCCCAUUAUUACGUGUUGUAUGAAUUUCAUCUAUUUAUUUUUCAUUUUUAAUAUUUAUAAUAUUCAUAAGAAAUGGUACGUUGGGAGUAUUUUUUUUGUUUAAUAAAUUUUACUUAUUGCAUAUAUUUAUAUAACCACGUAUAUAUGUAUAUAGUACUUUCCCUCUAGAUCAAGAUGAAGUCAUUGUCAAAUUGACUUUCAAUUUUUAGGUCAGAUUCUUCAAUUGUAAUCAUGCAUGGGCAUGAUGAUGUUUAGCAAUUAACGAUGUUGAUGAUCAUUAUAUGCUUUUAUAAUUUGAAUGAGAAAUUGUUUUAUAAUCAAGCUAAUAUUAUUGUGCCCCUUCUUGAUUGUACUAAUAACCAUAUUUUAACCACCCCCUCCCAAAAAAAAAAAUUGACGACAUGGGUGUAUGACAUGUUUUCGUCAUAUCACAUGGUUGGCCAUUUAAUAUAUAUAUAGCAAAAAUAAACUUGGAAUUUCUAUGUGAUUUUGAAGGCUUUUUUCCUGUUUUCGUAAUCGGGUGUGGUAAAACACGAGUACAUUUUUUGUGUUAACUUAUGUCGAGAGAUUUAAACGUGAUGUGCACAUUUCAAAACCGUUUUAAUCUAAACACUGUAAAGAAACCAUAUAUAAUACCACUAUCACACUACGGUAUUUAAAUGUUUGCGACAAAAUAACGACUGAUGUCUGAUGAGAAACUGAAGUUUUCUUAUCGACUAAUCCCCGAAACAGUGAAGUUUAAAGAGUUUAUAUAUGUUUCCCUAUAAGAUUGUACAAUGUUGUAGAAAUAAAGUGUCUAGCUUUCGUUCUCUCAACCAAUUAAUCGGUUCCAUAGACAUUUCGCCUAGAAACAGAGGUUCCUAAUAUCAUUUGCCGUCAUUUUCUACGUGUUUGUUCUGUAUUUUCAUAAAUGGUCAACUGUCUAGCCUAUUGUACUGUGUAGUUACUCAUGUUUAAUAUAGCACUAGAUUUAUCCCAACAUUAUAUCAUAUCCUAAGCAUCGAUCAGAAGGGAAUGUUUGCUUAUUACAUACAUAGUGCAAGUAAUCUGAAACGGGUAAAUGAAUAUUCACAUUUACAUGAAUAAAUAUACCUUAAUCUCUAGUUUUCCUUUUGACUUCACAGUAGUUAACAAACAAGACAGAAGCACAUGGAGGAACCAUACUACGAAAACGCUAUGGUAGACCAAGACUUUAGUUUAAUAAAUUCCUUAAAUUUUAUUUAUUUCAAUUAUUUUUGUCGGCAUUAUUAUAUCAAAAUUAUUAAUUUACAUUAAAAUAAGGCAAGCAUAUCACUUGUGAAUGGCGGGCCCCAUAAGAAAGACAACGAAUCCAUGGAAUCAAAACACAUGUUUGAAGCUGACAACUUUCCCAUCUAUGGGUCCCAUACUGUCUUAGCUGUCAUUUUAUUCUAAUUUUAAUUUAAAUAGAUAUAAAAAAUCCGACAAAACAACACUCUUUUGUUAAUAUUAUUGGUUUAUCUUUUCUUCUGUAGUUGACAAAAAAAAAUCUUUUCUUCUGUAUUGUUUCAAUAAGUUUGAUUGCAUUUUAUAAACUAAAUGUAUAAUUUAAAACGGAUUAGUUAAAGCACUAAAUGAGAGAAAUACAAAAUAAAAUAAAAACCUAAAAAUAUGGAACAGAAAGAAGAAAAACUGCACCAACUUGGCCUUUGUCCACUGGCUUGGAUUAUUCCGGUAAUGUGACGCCAUUCAUGACAUCAUUAUCUCUCGACAACACUCUUUACGGUCCAACCAAUCCCAGCAUUCACGUGGCAGCAUCUCACCCGUUCAAACAAUAAUCCACAACAAUGAAUUCGAUUAUAUUUUAUACCCACACGAUCCAAUAUUUAGCCCUUUGUUUCAAACACAUCUCACAUCCUUCUGUCUCUCUCUCCUCAAACGUUUUAGUAUUUGAAAGAAUAAAUCAAAAGAACCAAAAAAACCUAGAAACAAGACAAUCUUUGUUCUCAUCUCGUUUUCUGCUCACCUAAUUUAUUACUUAUUGCUAAUCAGUAUCAAGCAAGAUGAUCAAUUUUGAGGCGACGGAGCUGAGGUUAGGGCUGCCGGGUGGCAAUCACGGAGGAGACAUGGCCAUGAAAAAUAAUGGGAAACGAGGAUUUUCUGAGACCGUUGAUCUCAAACUGAAUCUUUCAUCCACGGCUUUGGAUUCGGUUUCCGGAGUUGAUUUAGAGAAUAUGAAGGAGAAGGUCGUAAAACCACCAGCCAAGUACGAAACUAAACUUUUAUCUAUAUUCCUAUUAAUGUGUAUUCACGAUCCUCUAAAGUAGAAGUAGUGAUAUAUAUGAAUGUAUUGAAAUAAUUAGAUUAUCUGUGAACAGAUUAGGAAAUAGAUAACACGAGCCGGUUAUGGGUUAUCUGAGAUAGGCUUUAACACGCUGAAUGAUUACGCUAAUUAGAGCAGCUAUGCAAAUUAUUCUCUAGAGAUCUGUCAUUUUUUUAGUUUUGCUCCAUGUUUUCAACAGUUUUCACAUAAUAUUAUUUAAAUGUGUGAUUAAUAAUAGCCAAUAAUAAAGCUAGGUUGAUGAGUGUAAUGUUUGAAGGUUUGGUCGGGAAGAAUGAAGAAAAAUACAAAACAUAAGGAAUCUUUACUUUAUCUACGUAAACUAAAUUAAUAUUUGGACAACUACAUCCACCUAACAUCCGACACGUGUUAAGCAACUAGAUGAUUUUACAUACUUUUUAUUAAAUACGCUAAUUAAUUUAUUUUUUUGUUCAAAAAUACGCUAAUUAAUAUAAUUGAAAUUAUCAACUAAAAAUAAUUACGGAAUUUCAGGGCACAAGUUGUGGGAUGGCCACCGGUACGAUCUUUCCGGAAGAACGUCAUGUCAGGCCAAAAGCCAACCGCUGGAGAUGCCACCGAAGGAACGGAAAAGACUUCCAGCAGCAACGGAGCCACCUCCUCUGCCGCAGCUUACGUGAAGGUUAGCAUGGACGGCGCACCGUACCUAAGAAAAAUUGAUUUGAAACUUUACAAAACAUAUCAAGACCUCUCCGACGCCUUAAGCAAAAUGUUCAGCUCUUUUACCCUAGGUAAAUAUAAAAGACGACAAUAUCUAUAUUAAAAACUUAAACUCGUUAUUUAAUUUUUUUUAUAAAAAAUUCAGGCAACUAUGGACCACAAGGAAUGAAAGAUUUUAUGAACGAGAGUAGGUUGAUCGAUCUUUUGAACGGAUCAGAUUACGUUCCAACUUAUGAAGAUAAAGAUGGAGACUGGAUGCUUGUAGGAGACGUACCGUGGGGGUGAGUGUUAUUAUAUAUAAGCUAAUAAGCAUAUAUUAUAUGUUUACAUAAUUUAGUAUUUUUUUGUUGCAACUAAACACAUAUAUUUGCUUACGUUUCAUUUGUAUUAUUUUUUUAGGAUGUUUGUUGAUUCAUGCAAACGCAUAAGAAUAAUGAAGGGAUCAGAAGCAAUCGGACUUGGUUAGUAUUUUCAAUCCAGAAUUUACUGUGCACUCUUAAGAUUAUGUGCACUUUUGUUAAUACUAUUAUCAAUUGACUGCAGCUCCAAGGGCAUUAGAAAAGUGCAAGAACAGAAGCUGAGAGCUCUAAGAAAAUGACCGGUUCGAUCCGGUUGGAUAUCUCAAACCGAGAAAAGCCAAACCGGCUCGAAACUACUGUUACGAGCAGGGAGUUUGCGUAUAAUAUUCAUAAAUAAUAAUUAAUAUUGUGGUGUAUUACAUUUUAUAAACUCAAACCCUUUUUGUUAUAUGUAUAAUAUUAUAUACAUAUAUGAAUAUGUAUAUUAGGUGGCAUCUAUGUAUUUCCGCUUUGAACACCUUUUGUUUUUACGCAUUAUUGUAUUGUCUAUAUGGUUACGUAUCCGUAAGACAUCUUAAUGUGUUACUUUGACGUGACAAAGUAUCAUUCACGUUUAGUGUAUUACAUUACUAUUUUUCAUUUCAGCGGAUCGUUAAAUGACUUGAAAAUGUUAAUGGUCGUAAACCGAUAAAUUAAAUUUAAUAAUUUCUUCAAUCAUUUUCGUAUGUAUUUCCUAAUUCCUAUUGGUGUUCUUGAGUAUUACAUAUAUCAUUUUUGGUCUUUCUUCGUUGAACCACAUAUGAAAACUUUAAAUAGAUCAAGGUGAUGUGCGAUAGUGGACUGUGCAAGAGCAUGUGCAUAAUCCGAUAAUGUAGAGUUGUUGGGGGACAAUAUAUUAAUGAAUCACAAAUAAAAUUAACAAUGUCUUUAAUAUGCAUGCUCCAUUAUUGAUGAUGUACGCUGUCAUCCAUCGCUUAAAAAAACAAUAGGUGACAACGAUGAUAUUUGUUUUAUCUAUUUCUUGUUAAUUUAUCUUACUCUGGAUUAAUACACCAAGAACAAAUAGUAAUUUAGUUGUAAAACUAACCUAACCACAUAUAUAUAUCUGUACAAUUAGCCAACAAAAAAAGUUUUCCCGAAUAGCUGUUUCAAAAUAUAUAGCUGCUUACAGACAAAAGAAUAACUGAAAAUUAACAAAGAGAACUAGAUUCCGAUCCACCAUUUUUAAGGAUGGAUAUAUCUUUUGUUUUACACAAUUUAGAAAUUUAAUUUUUUAUAAUUUAAUUUAAUCAUAUUUGUAUUUUUUUUUGUAUAAUAUUUUUUUUAAAUAAUUAAUAAGAGAUUUUAAUAAUUAUAUUAAAAUAGUUGAAAUACACAUAUAUUGCUGUUUUAAUAGAAUAGAUUAGAUUACAUCCGCUAUAUAUUGCUGUUUUAAUAGAAUAGAUUAGGUUACAUCAAGCGGAGUAGAAAAAAAAAAUCAAGGUUUUGCUAUAAAGUUGAAUUGAGAUCAAUAUUGAUAGAUCGAGCAUAUUCCUAUAAUGAUACCAAGUACGAACCAAGGCAAGCACCGUUACAUAUGCUUCACUCAAGAAGAAAGGAGAUUAGGUUAAACUAUGAAUUGAAUAUGAAUAGAAAAGCAGAGAUAACUCUUUUAAUGUAUAUGCAUGCAAUAUCAUAGUUUAAACCAUUGCGGUAAACAUGGAUAAUUCUUUUAAUUUGGCAGAUCUGGAUUGUAGGUACAAAUAUUUUACUGAAUUUUUAUUUAAAAUGAUAAGGCUCUUGUAUACAUUUAUAGAGAGAGAGAGAUGCAUUAGACCACCAACAAAAAACUUAUCGAUCAUGAAGACCGGACUUAGCAUAACCAUCAUACUGUUAUCAUACACGGUGGCUGGUACGGACUUCCAAGCCGGAAGUCAGACUUGGGAAGCGGGGCUAGGGUCCAAGGAGCUAGUGCGUUGAACAUACGCGCCACCUACCAUUUCUAUAACCCUGAGCAGAAUAACUGGGAUCUGAUGGCCGUGACUCGUGAGUGCUUAUUGCUCCACGUGGGAUGCUGAUAAAACCAUACGCGUGGCAGUGUAGGUAUGGCUGGACCGCCUUCUGCACACCGGUUGGUCCUCAGGGUCAUGAUUCUUGCGGCAAUGCUUGAGGGUAUACGAUUAUGAUUUUGUAUAUAUUCUUUUUACUAGGGUAUGCGUUAUAUAUUUAUAACAAAAUGAUUUUAGUUAUAAAUAUCACAAACAAAACUGCAAUAGAUAAUUUAAUAUUGAAAUUUGCUUGUCAAUAUAUAUUUUUUCUUUUGAAAAUCAUAUGUAUUUUUAUAAAAAUUCAACCUGUCCCCCUUGUAUAUUAGAUAAUAUAUACGAAAGCUUAAUGACAUCAAUGUUAGUGUGUUAGUGAAUUUGAAGGUAUCAUAUAUAAGCCGGAGUUUUACUGUAACUAAUCAAAGCCGGAUUUUUUAAAGGUAAUCAUAGACUGGUUUUAAACAACCGGUGUGAUGAACUUUUGGUUCUAACUUGAUGGAGGUGAGGAACGUCAUGACGAAUGCAGUAGUAACGGUGAGAAUAGUGGACCUUUACAAAAGAUUGGAUAACGAUGGUGUUGGCUAUGAGCAAGGUCAACUCAUUGUUGACUAUGAAUUUGUUGACUGUGACGAUGAACUAAUUAAUCAGCCUGGUCAUUCUUAAAACAUCCUUGUUUCGGCCAUUGAUCGCGUUUGAUAUUAAUCGUUUUAGAGGUCAAGAUCUAUCUACACUAUAUAAUAAAAAGGCCUAUGUUGUGUUGUUCUUGGUGGUUUUCAAGAUAUUUGGCUCAAAAGAUCAAAAGAAUUUCUCACUUUUUUAUUACACAAUCCAAGACCAUAUCAAAAUCUUUUUGGUAUAUACAGUUUAUGAACAAGAAAGGCUUUAUUGUUUCUUAUCUUUUGUUCUCUUUACACAAAGUAUAUACACAGCCAUAAAGUGAUUCUCUUACUUCCCAUCCUUUAAAAGAAAAUCUUACAAUCACAUAUACACUUAUCAAUAUGUCUGCAUCACAGAACAUGCAACUGCUUGUGCCCAAUGUCUCAAUCUCUGCUUCACUUGUUGCGGAUUGUCCCCUAACAAAAAACAUCCAAAAAAACUAACACUCAGUUUCAUGACUUUCAUCAUAAAUGUUUAGCUCUCUUUUUUUACCUGGACACACGAUCUUUAAUGAAUCUGAAUCAGUUUUCUUCGGGCUACAUGGUAUAUUCAUCGAGAAAGCUGAUGCAGAUGCGCUGCUGCUACGGCUACUGCUAGGUGAAGCCAGAGGUGAGAGGUGACGAUUCACUGCAAAGUAAAGAUCAAGAGCUGGUAAUGUAUUGCAAAGCUUUUGUCCUGCUUCUUCAUUGAAACCAAAACCUAGCUCAAUGGAUCCUUUAAGCUCGUUUAAAUCCUCAUCGGUUAGUUUCUUCUGUUCACUAAGAUUGUCUGAAACGCGCAUCUUCUUCUCUUGAAUCAUUAUCAUCUGACGUUUUCUUCUUUCCCAAGCAAUGUCUCUUGGUGACUCACACAUAGAUAGUUGUUUUGUUAACCGUUGUUUUGGUUUCUGUGAGGCUAAAGGCGUUGUUGCCGCCGUUUUGACCUCUCGAAGCGCCGGUGUUGAGACCGAAAAUGUAAGGUUUUCUCUUAUUCUCACCAUCUUUUAUAUAUAUCACUUGACGUGUAUAUCAAGCUAAUAUGUUAUGAGAUGUGGCUUGUGAAUGCAAACUAGGGUUCUUCUUUCUUGGUUCUUGUGGGUUUUGUUUAAUGUAUGUUCUUUGUGAGAUGGCCGCGUUAGAACAUGUUACGCGGCCAACAAAGAGGUUAAAGUGGGUCGGGUUGAUCAGAUAUGUCUUGUUUAUUACGCUCUUUCUCUAGUUAGGUUUUGCCCAACCCGACCAGAGAUAAACUUUUAGGAGACUCGAGGUGCUUUAAUGGAGGAUAGUAAGUUAGUUUCCACCACUGAUAUAUGCAAUGGAUAGAGUCCAAAAGCUAUUUUCCUCCAUUGUUUUAAUUAGAGACUUCUUUGUUUAGAUCAAUGACCAUACCAAUAAAAGAGUUUUAGACGUAAUCUUAGUAUAUCUCAAUCAUGUCAAACUUUCAAAACUUUUUUACAAUUUUUGAAACAAUAUGGUAUGUGAGUUUCUAUUUUUAAAUAUUGAAUUCAUGCUGUAAUCUUUUUAAUAUCUCUAACCAUAUGCUAAACAUAGCUGUUCAAGUAAUCUUUUCCUCCAUGUAUUCUCUUACUACUUCUGCUUCUCUUUCAGACAGAACAACAAAGAACGAGAAAACACCAACAUCAGUGACCUCAUUGCGUAGAAGACAAGCCAGACAAAACGAUAAAAUAGAAAGCGAAGAAGAGCCUUUACUCAAAGCUGCAUUCAUCUUUUCCUCUUUAUUUGUGCUUAGAUACUUAUAGAAUAUCUUUUUUUUGUCAAAACUUAUAGAAUAUCUAUGUAAUGGAAUUGCUGUAAAUUCCUAAUAAGAAUCGGAUCCAAAGAAUAUUAGGAUGUUCUGUCUACUCAAGCUGAAUAUUAACCUGUUAUGUGAUACUCCAAGGAAUAUGAUGUAAAGGUUUAGCAUGGUAAGUAUUUGGUUACCACUUUUGAAUAGGAAGGAAUCUUGAUAAAAGAUAACCCAUCCAGGUUUAAAAAAGAAAAUGCAAUAAGAUACUUUUGUUCUAUAAUAGCCUCAUAUUUGAACCACCUACUCAUUUAUAAAUACAGAAACUCUUCAUCAUGUGGCUAAAAGUAUUUACUAGACUUAUCAUUGUGAUGAUCACCAAACAAGAACAAGAAAAAACUGUAAAAAAAAAAACAAUAGAAUUGAAAUAUAAAUAUAUACCGUUACACAUUAAAUACAAAAACUCCUAAGCAUUGGACUAAUCAUUGUGAUAAUCAUAAAACAAGAACAAGAAAAAAGCAGUAAGAAACAAAAAUAAUAAUAAUGGAGACGUGUUGAAAUCUGUACCGUUACUUUGCUUUAAAUUUUUAAUUUUAAAUGAAUAAAGCAGGUGUGAACCUUACAGAGUGCUCUGUGUUUGACUCUGAGACCGCGAUGACCACCUCUCUGCUCUAAUGUCUUUACUGUAAUUACUAAUUAUAUAAAAUUUGUUUACACAACUUUAGCUUUUGUCUGUUUGAAGAUUAUGAUCUUUUUGUGUAUUUUAAAAUGUGUGUAAUGGGUGUGGUGGUGGAGGGAAUUUUUAAGUAAAAAGAAAAGUCCAACUCUACCCCACCCACAAAGUGGAGAAAGCAAAAGUCAUAACCUUUGACACCUUUCUCAACCCAUCUCUAUCUAUCUCACAAACCAACAAACAACACAGGAACAAUAUCUCUCUUUUAUUUUAAUGUCCUAAUCUCCCCUGGGUGAUUUCUUCUUAGCUCAUUAUCUAAUUUUGAUCUUCAGGGUUUCUUGUCAUGCAAUUCUUUGUGUAGUUUUCCUUCUUAUGAGCUAACCUUGUAUAGACAAAAGAUCUCACCUUUUUGCUCUUGAAUUGAGAGAGUUUCUAUAUUUACUCAGUGCUCUUCCUGUGAAGUGAUUUGGAAAGAUUCAGCCAGUUGAGGAAGGAACUUAUGGUGAUUGGGGUUUCUCAUAGAGUGUUGAGGUGUUGAAGUUCUUGAUUUGGUCUAAUUAGCUUUAAAUGUUACAUUCUUUUUCAUGACUGAUCGGUUUAUUAGAUUCAUUAGGAUUUUGAGUUUUGAUAUUUUAUUCUCUUGGCUCUCUAGUUAGAUUUUUAGUGUUGUGAACUGAGGAAUCAGGGUUUUAUUGUUCUAUCAUCUUAAGCUUGGGUGGAAUAAUAUAAAAUAAAAAUGGAGGAAGUUGAAGCUGCUAGCAAGUUAGCUAUAGAAAGCUGUCAUGGAGUCUUAACCCUCUUGUCACAACAGCAAACCAGUUGUGAUUCCAAAUCUCUAAUGGUUGAAACAAGAGAAGUAGUUUCCAAGCUCAAGAGAGUAGCCUCUCUUUUAACCAAAGGGUCAGGUCAUGGAAAGUUUAGAAGAACCAACAACAACAAGUUUAGUCCAUCUUUUCCUCAGCAUAUCUUCUUGGAGAGCCCUAUUUGCUGUGGCAAUGAUGAGAGUAGUGAUUACACUCAAGUUCUUGCACCUGAGCCUCUUCAGAUGGUUCCAGCUUCUGAUGAGAUUGACCCAAGAUACCAAUUGGGUCACCCACUUAGCCACAGAUGGCCACCGCCUUUUCGAGCUCCUUAUCAGAAAAUAGCUUACUCUAGAAGCAACAGCGGUGGUGUAAACCUAACGUUUGAUGGGUCUGCUAGUAGUUGCUAUACCCCGAGUGUAUCAAACGGAUCAAGAUCUUUUGUAUCAUCUCUUAGUAUGGAUACUAGUGUCGAUAGGAGCUCGUUCCAGUUAACCGGAUUAUCACGUGGGAAGAUGUGCUCUGGUAGUUUGAAAUGCGGAAGUAGAAGCAAAUGUCACUGUUCCAAGAAGAGGUUCGUCAAUGUUCUUUGUGACAAUGUGAUAUCAGUUAACUGUUUUGUAACGGUUUUGAGUUUAUUUACAGGAAACUAAGAGUGAAAAGAUCAAUCAAGGUGCCUGCAAUAAGCAACAAGAUUGCGGAUAUUCCUCCAGACGAGUAUUCAUGGAGGAAGUAUGGUCAGAAACCUAUCAAAGGCUCACCGCAUCCACGGUAUUUAUAUAUAUUCAUCUUUUUUUUUGGUGUCUAUAUACUCAUUUGAUUCAUGUGCAGGGGAUACUACAAGUGCAGCAGUGUGAGAGGUUGUCCUGCAAGGAAGCAUGUGGAGCGAUGUGUAGAUGAGACUUCGAUGUUAAUUGUGACUUACGAAGGUGAGCAUAACCAUUCAAGGAUAUUGUCUUCGCAAUCAGCUCACACAUGAUGGAAUCAGAGUCAGUCACUGCCUGUCCUUUUUGCUGUCUACUCUUGGAUUUGAAGAAGAAUGAUUUUGGAUUCAAGAAACUGGUCUUAGUAGUGUUGUUAGCUGUGGUUUGCAAUUGUAUAUUCCACUUUGACAUGAGUUGUAAGAGCUUUUUGUGAACUUGGAUUAUGUGGCAAUACCGACAAGCAUCAACAAUUUGGCUUCAGCUUAGCAUUUUCUUACUUAACCAAAUAAGCUUAAUUUUUAGUAUAGGUAGGAGGUGGUUGUUGGAGAUAAUCACAAAGUUAACUUGGCGAACAAGUUACACUAAUCCUAAUCGAGAUAUGUUUAGGAUAGUUAGUUUUUAUGAGUUUAGGAAAUUUAAAGUCUCUAUACAAGAAGAUGCAAGAGUUUUAGAGAUUGUGUUUUGGAGUGAUUAAGUUUUGAGUUAUUUUCUUAAGCUAAUAAAAAGAGUUCUUUAUUGUGAUCAUAUACAAUUUUUGAGACUAUAUUUGGUAUCAGAGUGCAAGAUAAGUUAAAAGCCUUACGAUGGGAGGAUCUUUGUGUCCGCAUAAUGUUCGCUGUUAGGAGGAGACGAGUGUGUGCAAGUUUGGGACCUUGAGUAGUAGCUUGGUAAACAACACACAUGAUAGCUUGCUCCUGUUUAAUCUCAAAAGCUGUCAAGUACAAAGAAGGGCUCUUCAUCAGAUUACUUCUUCUUUAACGUUUUGUGUCUGUGGUUAGAGAGAUUACAUGUAUUGUUCACAUAAUAGCCUAAAUUAUGUAAGAGUUGAAGCUGGACACUUCAUCUGUAACAAACGACAAGUUUUUUUCUCAUUUAAAAAAAAAGUUGUUACGACUUGAGGAAUUAACAAUGAACAGCCAAAGACAUGUCCCAAAAUAUCCAAGUUCCAUGUUCUGCAACAAGAAGGCCAUUCAUUUUAAGACAAACCAUUACAUACUACAAGAACACUUGGACUCACAAAAUGAAGACCAAACUUUGCUUUGUCAUUCCGUUUCUAACUCUCAUUGCGUUUCCUCUGGUGUGAUCACGAGCUUAUAUGAUUUUUUUUUUUUUUUCACUCCGUCUUCAGAGGUUGGAGAGAUUAAGAAGACCGAGUGAUUAAAGAAGGCCCACGGUUUAGGUUGUGAAUUUUGGAUGGAGGGCGGCUAAGAUAAGAUAACUUAAUUUAAAGAAACUAUCUCUAAGAAACUCGUUAAACUACGAUUAUACCCUUUUCAUUACAACCUGUAUAAAUUAAGAAGAAACACGGAACUGACAGAAAAGCAAAGAGACAGCAAUUAUGGGUUGUCGGAAAGCAUUUUUGCUUCUAUACUUUCUAUUUUUAGUCCAUAUCCACCACAACCACUCUUUUCACGCGAUCUCCGCUGCUCCAAACCAUGAAUCGAAGCCGGACGGUGAAGCUUUCAUUGGCAAAACCGCGGAAUUAUCUAUCGUUGUUAAAAAGGGUGGUGGAGGCGGCAGAGGCGGCGGAGGUGGUGGUGGACGUAGUUUUGGUGGAGGCGGACGCAGUUUCGGUGGAGGUGGAGGUGGAGGCCGCAAAGGUGGAAGAGGAGUGGUUCCGUUAGUUGGAGGUGGUGCUGCUGCUUCCCACCACCGUGGCAACCAUUCAAGCGGUGGUCGGGAAAGUGCUAGCGUUUGGUUUGGUUUAUUGACUUUACUCGGUUUGGUUUUGGGUUUUUAGGGUUUACUUAUUUUGAUUGCCGGUUUAGGUUAAAUGUUUGAUGUCGGUUUUGCUUGCUACUGGUUUGCUCUCUGGAUAUAAACACCACUCGGUUUGGUUUUGGUUUUUAGGAUUUUUUUUUUUAAUUUUGAUUGCCGGUUUAGGGUUAAAUGUUUGGUGCCGGUUUUGCUUUCCACUGUGGUUUGCUCUUUGGAUAAAAUUUCUCUUAACCGGAACUUAAUCCAUCAAUAAUCGAUUGUAAAAUAUUUUGUUUGAUUACACAUCCAAAAAAGCUCAAAAUGAUACAAAUUUUCAACAUUAGGAGUUUUCUUCAACAAUCAACAUCAAAGUUUCACGUUACAAAUAAAAAACCGAGAAAGACGGUUACAUUGUGAACCAACCAACAUAUACCGGAUAUAACCGAAAAAAACAAAGAGUCUUUGUUUUGAAUUUUAAAUUUUCUCCAGUGAGAUAUCAAAGUUAAACACAGACCAACAACAACACAAAGGCAUCAAUCAUCGUCAUUUCAAGCCUCGCAAGCUUCUUCCACGGACUCGUUGAGUGGUUUAAGCCCACUUUUACCCUUGCCUGAUCUGGAACGAGGGCUGUCGUGCACAUCAUUGGUGUUCUUGUUCUGAACUGUUCCCGUGCUGUGUCGGUUCCGGUUAGAUGCUGUCUUCGGAACCUCUUCACGGGACGAGGACGAGCUGACUGCGUCGCUGCAGCUCUUUCUCCGAGAAAGGAUGAGUUUUGGCGACUUGGGACGAGUCAAAGGCACCUAGAAAGAUACAUAACAUUAAGCUACAUUCGUCACAAGAACAAAGAUACAUAACAUAAGCUACUUUUGUCACAAGAACAAUGCUGAGCUCCAAACAUGACGAGUUAAAUAUACCUUCUUGAGUUCAGGUUUGGCAGGAGGCGCCUCGUAGUAGAAGUUGGGGACUGGUUUAGCCUUGAACUUGAGAUUUUUUCUAAGUUUUUUCAAGGCUGCUUCUUGUUCUUCCUGCAAAAAACAUUGAAUUUACCAUUUAGAUUUAGAAAAGACUGCAUCAACUAUAUGGAUUUUUACCUUUUGCCUUUGUUCAAGCUCGUUCCUUUCAGCUUCAAGCGCUUGGUUUUUCUCCUCAAGCUUUUGGUAAUACUAAACCACACAAGAAAAGAUCAAUUAAUAAACAUUAAAAAGUAGACUUUAUAUCAGUGAGUGCAAAGGUGGAAGAUUUAUAGUUACCUCUUUGCGCUGCUCAGCACGCUGAGCACUCCUAAACGUUGGAGCGCUUCCAUGAGUCACUCCGGACUUAGCCCUCCUCAAGGAAGUUGCCACGCUGUUAGUUAAUAUCGUUAAGGAACAUUAUCGAUUUUGUCAAGUAUACAUACAAAGACAAGAUAAUGAUUAAGUGAUAGAGUCAAGUAAAGGAUACGAAGAAGCAAUGGAGACAUUAUCAUCUUCAUCUACAUGCUUCUUGUUCUCUGGUUGCAAGGGCUUCCUCACGGGGAGAAGAGGAGCAUCACGCUGCAGAUAGAACAUUGAACAAACAGGUAAAGUCACAUCAUUUACACAUCUCAAACUACUUACAAAACAUAACGUUUGUCUUAAUUCUGAAAUGAGUUUUUACCUUUGAAACUUUAGGAGUUUUAGGCGAGCUUUGAGCUCCAGUUCUCUCGGCAGUUUCCACUUUUGGUUUAUUCUCUUCGGUGCAUUCCUUGACUUCGAUCUCUUCCUCAGUCUCAGACUCCGCAGCUGCAGCUAUCUUAGGAGCAACGUGAACCCUACCGCUUGAAACGCCGGCGUUUCGGUCCAUAAGCACCUCAACAACAACCUCUCUUCCCAUUCCACUACGGAACACAAAACCAAAGAGUCUCUCUUUUAGACAGAUUCUCAAAAACACAAUUCAAUUAUGAAAGAUCUCAAUCUUUAUAAAGGUUACAGCUUUGUCAAAGUUAGAUUGGUAAGGAACAAGGAUUGGUUCAAAGAGAUAGAGAGAGGGUCGCAGAAGAACAAUUCAAAAGUGGAAACCAACACGCAUUAACAAACCCAGAUGGAGAAAUAGUCAAAAAGAAAUAUUUUUAAAAUGUGAAUUUGAAAUCCAGGCGAUAGAGGAGGAGAUUCUUAAGGUUUUGUGAACAAUUUUAUAGAAAAGAAUCAGACUUUCAAGGAAGAACAGGGUGACAAAAAAAAUUGUGUUCUUACGAGUCUUGUAUAGGACCGGGGAGGGAUUCUUGUGCACCACCUCUGUCUCCGAACGCCCGUGAGAAUUUUGCAGACAAAAUUUGAAAUGAAUGUCUUUAUCCAGACCAAACUUGUCUCCCUCUCUUUCUCUCUCAAGAAAAAGAAGAAUUUUUAUUGGGUGGUGACUAUUUUGGAGAUGUGUUUGAUUUGUUAAGCUGUUUGGUUAUUUAUUGGUUCGAAAUUCAUUUAUUUUUAUUAUAAAAAAAUGAAUUUUGGCGCUUUACAUCACUUUGAUAAUUAGUUUCUAUAUACUCCAUAAGAUUCAUUCAUUUUCAUGCCAAUAUUUGAAGAAAUAUAUAUUCACCCUAAAUAUUGAAAAGCUCUUAGUUUAUUGAAAUAAAUAAAUAAAACCUACCUCUGUUGAUUAGUUUCAUUUUUUUUAAAUGUAUAGUUAGUAGUAGUAUACACAUUCUCUAUACUUAUCUUGAUAUAAAAGUUUAAUUACUAUAUUAUUUCUUUAAUUUCUUAAGUUUAAUUUUCUUUUAAGGAUAUCUAAUAAAGUUGUGACUUGACAAAAAUAAAAAUUGAUGACUAAUUGUCUAGAAGUAUAUUUACUAAAUCUAAAUAAUUAUCCUAAUCUAGAUGUACUAGCUUGAAUCCAGAUGUGUAGUCUUCUUAGUAAUCAGAUCCACUAUAAGCAACUUCUAACAACCAAAUGAAAAGGAAAUUCAAACUAAUCAUACAAUAACUAUCACGGCUUUGAAGCCACAAGACGGAAUAAAUACCAAUGUGACAAUGUUACUCGUUUAAAAAAAAUGUUUCCUGUCCUUCAGUUCAAACUUCAAGAGUAGUCCAUACUUUCCCUCGUUGCUUAGUUUAAAUUCUGCAGCUUUGUUAAAGUGCUGAGGUUGAAUACAGUAUGGCGUCUACCAUUGUACCUCGUAGACCAUACAAUUUGUUCUUAGACUUUUAGUAUACACAUGUAUGCGUAUACAUGUUCUUAUGAUCUAAUCAUUUCAAUUGUUUAUAACUCAUUUGGAAGCUAACAAUAUAUUAUAUAUGUAUAACAAUUCUGUAUAUUUGUUUCCUGGUUGUCAAUUCCAUAUCUUUGUAAUCUCUUUUCUAAAGCAAAUUACUUGAUACCACGCAUAUGAAGAGUGACCAACGAAACUGAAGUUUGUAACAGUAGUUUGUGAGAGUAGUAAUCUCUCUUCAAAAGCAAAUUACGUUCUUAAUGUAUUUUGCAGUGUUUGCCUUUUGUGAAAAAUAUGUUCUGUAAAAAAUAUGUUUUAUAAUCUAUUUCAAAGUUCAAACAAUGGACUUUUGAUUUCCGACAAAGUAGCUUUGAUGUAUCCGACAGAGACUAAAGUUAAUUUGAAUUAAUACUUAUUAUGUUGCUUCAAAUGCCAAAAAAAAAAAAAAACUUAUCUUUACUUUAUACUAAAUAACGAACAAAAAGAGUAGAGAAAAAUUUAGAAAAUGAUGCAAAUCUCAUUUUAAAAUCAUGUCAUAUCAAAUAAUAUGAAACAAACAAAAAACCACUAAAAUAUUUUGAAAACGGAUUAACAGUUGACUAACUUCAUUUAGUUUUUUUUUGUAACAAAUAAAAUUGUAAGAAGGAUGAGAAGAUGCGAAAAUUAAGUAAACAUCAAAGACCACUUUGUGCUAGGGAAGAAUCACUAAAGUGGGUAAGUAAGGAUGAGAAGAUGCGUCAAUGCGAUCAGAGGCAUUCACUAUCCACAUUAUCCAUAGUUCAUGCAUUUAACACAUAUAGAAGACUCACGGGUGAACCUGUAGUGUUAUUGGAGAGUGAAACAUCGAACAUGAUGAUUUCUCACUGGGUCCAGCACACACGAGGGUGCAUCUCUAUCUUUAUCUAGGGUUGGUGUUUUUCAGCCAACGUGGACCCGUUUAUUUCCUCGACCUCACCUUCACAGGAAUUUAUAUGAGGGAGGGAUAUCUCAGUAACGUUUUUCUUACGUAUUUGAUCAUUUAUUAGUAGAGUGUAAUCUAAAUUGAGUAAAAUAAGAGCUAAUUAAAAAUACUAUUACAUGCAUAUAGCGAGACAGUAUCCGUAUUCAAAUCAUUCUACAUGCUUUUUUGGCGACUUUUUGGUGAAAAUGUUAGUAACAAAUAAAUGUAAAAGUUAAAUUUAUUGCUAAACAAGCUUAAAAACCAUAAUAUUUUUGUACGAUAUAAAUUAGAGAAAAUUAUUGAUUUGGAUAAGAGAAGGAAUGGGUAUAUAUAGAUUGAAGAAGAAGAGAAAAAAAAAACGAUUUUUGAUGGAACUUAAACAAAUGAAACAAUCUAUUUUUGCGUUUGUUCCAUUUAUAUCAAUUAAAGUAAAAUUUAUUAUUUAUGUUUACUAUACAAAACUAUCAUUUAAUAGUAUUUAAUCAAUUUAGUUAUUUCAAUUAAGUUUUUAAAUUAUACAAAACUGUCUUAAAAAUAUUAAAAAUAUAUUUUUGUAGAACAAAUUUUUUUUAGAAAAUCUUACAUUUAAGAAUGGAGACAGAUCUAUUUUCACCACCAUUUUUCAAAAAAAAAAGUUUUAUUUUUAUUUUUAAACUAGUGUUUAAUUAUAUAUUUUUAGAAUCUGAGACUAGUGUUCUAAAAAUCGGUAUGGAUGGCGCAUAGGCAUCCCCUUAGUCAGCAAAUCAAACUUAAAUGUAAUGAUUUCUUAAAUGAUUUUUUUUUUAAAAUCAGUGUAAGUAUCCAUCUAAUCAGUAAUCUCAUACAAAAUAUUUAACUACCGCCUAACAAUUUCUUGAACAUUGGCCGAGAACAAUAACCCGAGCCACACAUUGUUAUAGAUUGUUUAUUAAGAAAAACUGAAAUCGAAAAUCCAUAUAGUUUAUGCAGACUAUAUGGCAAUGAAGAUCAACAUUUAUCAUUAGUUAAUUCAUUUUCAUCAAAGGUAGAACAAACAGAAAAAAUUUCAUCGAUUAUAAAAUUAAUUUUAUUGAUUGAUGCAGUUACAUGAAUUUAUUGAUGUAUUUUUUUUUUUUAGAUUUAGACAUGCAAUCGUCUAAUACAACUAGAUAUUGAUUGUUGGAGGACCUGGCGGAACAUGUCUACAUCUUCCCUCUGGGGGACAUCCCGGUUUGUACGGAUUUACUGGUUCCGGGGGUGGACACGUGCCAGGACUACAGCCAGGGGGACGAUCGCCACCACGUAUUGGUGGAUAUCCAAUAAAUUUUCCAGCUGCUGGGUUGCUGAUCAUAAACACACAUGCUGCUAUGAGUAUUGCAACGACCAUAACCCUAUUUGUUCCUUUUAGAUUGCUCAUGAUUUGUGUCAAAAUUAAAUGUUUACAGAAUAGCUUAUUAAGUGUUGUGCUAGUUGGUAUGAAGAGGGUUUUUAUAGUGUGUA